CCCAGGUUCAGCCCAACGUGCAAAGCAGGCAGGUCGUCCGGGUCUCUUCAUCUAUCCCCGAGCGGUGGCGCAAUCCCUAUCCCCGAGCUCCUCUGUUCGUCGCCAUCCUUUGUCUCGGUGGUGAGCUUCUGAAGCACGUCUGCUUAGGCAUCGGCACCUUCCACUGCCCCUCUACUCUUCCUCUGCCGGCCCGCAUGGUGGGUUCCUUCUUUACCUUUUUUAUGUCGUUCCUGUAGCGUUCUUCAUGGCAGUUUAGGCGGCCACACGCGCCAUCGACAUCCAUCUCCGAUUGUCUUUCUCCAGUGUCUUCCAACAUGCCAUUUAGCCCUUGCAGCUGUAACGCGCGUCCCUCCCCGUUUCAUACCUGAGAUACCUCUUCGUACGACCCUCCCUGGAUGGCGAAGGAGAUUCGACAGAGCCGAUCAUGACCCAAAGAGAAAAAUCGUAGUUAGUCCCCAGCGCUUGAUCCUUCUUUUACGCCGCAGGAUCAGCAUCCCCUCUCCUUUCGUGCCUGCCCAGCAAGCUCGCUUGAUAAUCUCCAGGGAGGAUGAAGUUGUUGAUUUAUUGUGCUGAUGCGUGAUGAGCAUCUCGAGAGGAUGUAGUUGGAACAGUCGGUGUACUGUUUCUUAUGGCAGAUUCGUUUACUUUGUUCCUCAAUCCUGGAGGGCAAGUUUUAGUAAUUUAUCUUCUAUAAUGGAUAAGAUUAGAAGCUGAACUUGGAACAUUGGAAUUCAUGUACUCCCUCCGUAAAGAAAUAUAAGAGUGUUUAGAUCACUAUUUUAGUGUUCUAAACGCUCUUAUAAAUCUUUACAGAGGGAGUAUUAUGCAUAGUUGUUUACGUGCAUCAGCUUUAUUGGUUAUAUAGGAAUUUACUAUCAGAUUAUGUGGGCUUAUUUUCUUUGUGAAAUUGUUCCUUGAUACUUUAGCAAUCUCCAUGGGAUCAGUUUUAUAAGUUUAGUUUGGUGCUACUAUUUUUUGGCUAUCUGAUCAAAUGCUCAUGUACUUUAAAGAUUUACCAUGUGUGUGUUUUUUGUUCCAGUGCAUUGCAUGUUUUAGUACACUUAAAUUCGUGAUAUGGUUUAUAGCUAGGACAUUAAUUAGGUGGUGCAAGCCAUUUUAUGAGGUCGUUGUUGAUAGCAAUGUUAUGUUCAACUUUGAGAGCCAAUCUUCUUUUAUCCAUAUUCAACUUUUGCUUGUCACAUAUUCAUCUCUUGUUGGGUAAGCUUAUGAGCUGAUCUUACAUUUUGCAGGAUUUUGAUGUUUGUGCUUUCGAGAGGUUCCUUGAUGAUGGCAUCACCUUGCAAGCUGUUACUUUUCAGAGAACACCCAAAACCAUAUCUUUUUUUCUUCUGUUAGCCCUGCUACGGUGCUUUACAUUCAACUAUUUUUCUGCCUCCAAAAUAUUUCUCACAUUAAGUCAGCAAAUUGCCUCGAAGGUACUUAGAAAAUAAUCAUCUUCAUAUUUGAGGCAUUGUACUUUCGAACACUCAUACUUGUUAGAUAUAUUGGUAUCA